GUUUGGUUGCUACCCACAGUGAUUAAAAAAAGGCCGAGAGAAGGGCUGAACUAAUCUUUAAACGUCCUUAUCCUGAGGCCACUAAAGCAAACAGUUGCCUAUUUACACAUCAAGCAGACACGGAGCAACAUUUCCAAUCAUUUGGAGGCGUGUUUCUGCCCACUUGACAAAUAGUUGGAAGAUGGUGAGGAAUGAGACGUGUUGCUUGUAGAUGUGUUUCCAAGGUGAUAAACUUUUCACUCCAAAAGUGACGAGAGGUUGGGAAAUUAUUGCGGUGGCUCACACUGCUUUGUGUGCCAACUCCUAUGUCAGGGGUGAGGUCACACCCUCCCUCCUCAGCCUAGGUGUCUGCAGAGGUUCAUAUCAACUCAGCAAGUGAUAAGUGAGCCAGGCCCUGGGCUGCCAGCGGAGGACAUGAAGUCAAGCCAGGGAGCCAAGGCCACUGUCAGCUCUCAGUGGUUAGAAUAACCCAGUAAAAGCUCCAGGGAACUGGGCUGGGACCGAACCAGCGCUGGCAAGGAGAGCAAGUGAGAGAUAACAACCAAAACCCCUUAAACUGAUGAAACCUGCUGCAUGCCAUCAAGCCUCCCCAUACAAUGAAAUAUGAGGUUGGAAAGUCACCGCUGAGGAGCCACAGCCAUUGUUGUCGAAACCAAAGAGAAGAGGUGAAGCUCACAGCCGCCCGUCACCUGAGAGUGCCCGGGGCACGUCCACGUGUUCGCCACACACACACACAAGAGGGCCACUACGGACAACACAAAGGCAGGCAGGGAAAAGGACAACAAGGUGCAGCAGGAGGAGGACAAUAGAGGAGUGUACACGAGGGCCGUCAAUUUGUUAUCCCCCUCAUCCAUCAGUUUUCACCUGGGCUGCUGAGGAGAAUAGGUGCAACUCGUGUAAGAGAGGGGGUGAGCUAUUGUGAGAGCGGUGCUAGCUGCAAUUAGCGUCUUAAUGGCAUCAAACUUUGACCUAAUGGCAUCAAACUUGUGACCUUUCUGUUGUGGGAUGUAAUCUGUGGCCUCACAACAAGCCGAGGCAUUAGUGAUGCUAGCUUAAAUAAAGUACAGAGCAUGUUUGUGCUUAAAGUAAUCAUCCAUUUAAUUUCCAUCCAAUUAAAUUUCUGUUUUUCAAGUUUCUAAAAACUUUGAUGUCUGUCUGUAGUGAAGCAUUAGCAUGUGCAGUGGCAGCCACUGUAGCUGAACAGACAUGAAACAAAACUUCAAAACUACAAAAGAAAAAAAAAAAUCAAGAAUCUGUUAGAUUGCUACUUUAAGUUGUUUCUGGUUCUUGCAUAUGUAUCCCUGGUUAACAAGAGCGUCCUGACGACAAGAAUAAAUCCAUGUCAAGGUUCUAAUAAACGCUAUGCAUGCUUGAAAGAGCACACAUUGCUAAUAAGGUUUUUCACUUAAUAAGCCAAUCAAUACAUUGAGCUGUAGGCCUCCUUUCUUAGACUCCAAGGGGGAUUCCAGAGGGGCCAAAUCAACAGGGACACACAUUCACAUGGACAAUACGAGGGGGCACAAAAUCCCCAUCGGGACCUGUUUUUUCCAGUGUUCGUUAAUAGUAAAAGUUCAUCCACCAGAAA